GGCUUGUGUUGACAGGCAGAGACAGGAGCAACUGCUGAUGUAUUUAUAGGAGCAUUGCACUUGUCUCGGUCUGAUAGUGUUUGCA